rnacentral:rRNA from 1 species
UGGGGAAUAUUGGACAAUGGGCGGAAGCCUGAUCCAGCAACGCCGCGUGAGGGAUGACGGCCUUCGGGUUGUAAACCUCUUUCAGUACCGACGAAGCGAAAGUGACGGUAGGUACAGAAGAAGGACCGGCCAACUACGUGCCAGCAGCCGCGGUAAUACGUAGGGUCCGAGCGUUGUCCGGAAUUAUUGGGCGUAAAGGGCUCGUAGGCGGUUUGUCGCGUCGGGAGUGAAAACAGCGGGCUUAACUCGUUGCUUGCUUUCGAUACGGGCAGACUAGAGGUAUGCAGGGGAGAAUGGAAUUCCUGGUGUAGCGGUGAAAUGCGCAGAUAUCAGGAGGAACACCGGUGGCGAAGGCGGUUCUCUGGGCAUUACCUGACGCUGAGGAGCGAAAGUGUGGGGAGCGAACAGGAUUAGAUACCCUGGUAGUCCACACCGUAAACGUUGGGCGCUAGGUGUGGGGUCCUUUCCACGGAUUCCGUGCCGUAGCUAACGCAUUUAAGCGCCCCGCCUGGGGAGUACGGCCGCAAGGCUAAAACUC